GAUGAAAUGCCUGAAAUUUCAAAGGAUUAUUUUGAUAGAAUAAAUCAUGUAGACACCUACUUUCAUCA
rnacentral:tRNA from 1 species